rnacentral:rRNA from 1 species
UUUUAUGGAGAGUUUGAUCCUGGCUCAGGAUGAACGCUGGCGGCGUGCCUAAUACAUGCAAGUCGAGCGAACGGACGAGAAGCUUGCUUCUCUGAUGUUAGCGGCGGACGGGUGAGUAACACGUGGAUAACCUACCUAUAAGACUGGGAUAACUUCGGGAAACCGGAGCUAAUACCGGAUAAUAUUUUGAACCGCAUGGUUCAAAAGUGAAAGACGGUCUUGCUGUCACUUAUAGAUGGAUCCGCGCUGCAUUAGCUAGUUGGUAAGGUAACGGCUUACCAAGGCAACGAUGCAUAGCCGACCUGAGAGGGUGAUCGGCCACACUGGAACUGAG